rnacentral:tRNA from 1 species
ACCUGGGUGGCUUAGUUGGUGAAGCAUCUGACUUCAGCUCAGGUCUGAUCUUGCCAUUCGUGGGUUUGGGCCCCACGUCAGGCU